rnacentral:ncRNA from 1 species
UUAAAUACUGUGAUAAGAAAUAGUAGCAUAAAUAAAACUUAACAGAGAGAUCUCCCUGGCUGAAAGAGAUUAAGAUUAAGUUUAUGCGAAUGCAUCUUGGAGUACUGCCUCGAAAUGUGAAAUUAAUAUAUACUAAAAUUUUUAUAGUAGACGGCAGCGGGUACGCCCGAUUAAAGCGUUAUGGUAUGUUAGUACCUAAGUUAUGAGUUGUCAUAUUAGUUUUUAUGUGAUAAUUAGAGUGGAACCGCGGAGUAAACUUCUGCCUCUAUA